GAAUCCCCCUAAACAGGAGCACCUGCUGGCGCUAAAAGUGAUGCGGCUGACUAAACCUACUUUAUUCACCAAUAUCCCAGUAACAUGUGAAGAGAAAGACUUACCUGGAGAUCUCUUUAACCAGCUGAUGAGAGAUGAUCCUUCAACUGUUAAUGGUGCAGAAGUUCUAAUGUUGGGAGAAAUGCUGACUUUACCACAAAAUUUUGGGAAUAUAUUUUUGGGAGAGACCUUUUCCAGUUAUAUCAGCGUUCAUAAUGAUAGCAAUCAAGUUGUAAAAGACAUAUUAGUAAAAGCUGAUCUUCAGACAAGUUCUCAGCGUUUAAAUCUUUCAGCCUCCAAUGCUGCAGUGGCUGAACUUAAACCGGAUUGUUGUAUUGAUGAUGUCAUACAUCAUGAAGUCAAAGAAAUUGGAACACACAUCUUGGUAUGUGCUGUGAGUUAUACAACUCAGGCUGGAGAAAAAAUGUAUUUCAGAAAAUUCUUCAAAUUUCAGGUUCUCAAACCAUUGGAUGUGAAAACCAAAUUUUACAAUGCAGAGGUAAGUGUUGAGUGUUUAAUGGGAUUUCAUAUUAAACAUUAAGAUCUUAUUUGACUAAAAAUCUCUUAUAUACAUUUCUAAUACUGAAGCAAAUAGCCAACGUGACUGUAAAUUAUUUGAAAAAAUCACAAAUUUCAGUUAAAAUUGAAUAAUUUUAUUGGUCUCAUAAUCUUUUUCAACUUACAUGG
rnacentral:sRNA from 1 species